CUACAGACUUAAUUGGAUUGAGCCUUGGUAUGGAGACCUACUAAGUGACAACUUUCAAAUUUAGAGAAACCAUGGAAUUAAGAUGGACAAUCCUAAGCCAAAUCCUGUUUUACGAGAACCAACAAAACAAUAAGGGUUCAUAAAGUGAGAAUAAAAAAAGGAUAGGAUAGGUGCAGAGACUCAAUGGGAGCUGUUCUAACAAAUGAAGUUUACCACGUUGCAUUGGGAAAGGAAUCUUUUUAUCGAAGCUUGAGAAAGGGAAAGGAUAAACUUAUGUAUAUACGUAUACGUACUAAAUACUAUCUCAAAUGAUUAAUGAAUCAAUUCUAAGUUGAAGAAAGAAUCGAAUAUUCAUUGAUUAAAUCAUUUACUACAUGGUUUGACAAAUCUUUUGAAGAAUUGAUUAAUCGGGCGAAAAUAUAGAUAGAGUCCCAUUCUACAUGUUAAUACCAA
rnacentral:ncRNA from 1 species